UACAGAGGGUGCGAGCGUUAUUCGGAUUCACUGGGCGUAAAGGGCGCGUAGGCGGCUUGGUAAGUCUGAUGUGAAAGCCCUGGGGUCAACCCAGGAAGUGCAUUGGAUACUGUCGAGCUAGAGUGUAGGAGAGGAGAGCGGAAUUCCUGGUGUAGAGGUGAAAUUCGUAGAUAUCAGGAGGAACACCCGUGGCGAAGGCGGCUCUCUGGACUAUUACUGACGCUGAGGCGCGAAAGCGUGGGGAGCAAACAGG
rnacentral:rRNA from 1 species